GACGAACGCUGGCGGCGUGCUUAACACAUGCAAGUCGAACGGAAAGGCCCAGCUUUUGUGGGGUGCUCGAGUGGCGAACGGGUGAGUAACACGUGAGUAACCUGCCCUUGACUAUGGGAUAACUUCAGGAAACUGGGGCUAAUACCGGAUAGGAGCUCCUGCGGCAUGGUGGGGGUUGGAAAGUUUCGGCGGUUGGGGUUGGACUCGCGGCUUAUCAGCUUGUUGGUGGGGUAGUGGCUUACGAAGGCUUUGACGGGUAGCCGGCCUGAGAGGGUGACCGGCCACAUUGGGCCUGAGGUACGGCCCAUACUCCUACGGGAGGCAGCAGUGGGGAAUAUUGCACAAUGGGCGGAAGCCUGAUGCAGCAACGCCGCGUGCGGGAUGACGGCCUUCGGGUUGUAAACCGCUUUCGCCUGUGACGAAGCGUGAGUGACGGUAAUGGGUAAAGAAGCACCGGCUAACUACGUG
rnacentral:rRNA from 1 species